UCCGGUUUGUCACCGGCGGUCUCCUUAGAGUUCCCACCAUUACGUGCUGGCAACUAAGGACAAGGGUUGCGCUCGUUGCGGGACUUAACCCAACAUCUCACGACACGAGCUGACGACAGCCAUGCAGCACCUGUGCGGGCUCCCGAAGGAGCGCCGUGUUUCCACGGUUUCACCCCGCAUGUCAAGCCCUGGUAAGGUUCUUCGCGUUGCGUCGAAUUAAGCCACAUGCUCCGCCGCUUGUGCAGGCCCCCGUCAAUUCCUUUGAGUUUCGGUCUUGCGACCGUACUCCCCAGGCGGGGUACUUAAUGCGUUAGCGUCGUCACGGAGGGAGUCGACACCCCCCGCAACUAGUACCCAUCGUUUACGGCGUGGACUAC
rnacentral:misc_RNA from 1 species